rnacentral:rRNA from 1 species
UACGGGGGGGGCAAGCGUUGUUCGGAAUUACUGGGCGUAAAGGGCUCGUAGGCGGCCAACUAAGUCGGAUGUGAAAUCCCCAGGCUUAACUUGGGAACUGCAUCCGAUACUGGAUGGCUUGAAUCCGGGAGAGGGAUGCGGAAUUCCAGGUGUAGCGGUGAAAUGCGUAGAUAUCGAGAGGAACACCUGCGGCGAAGGCGGGUUGCUGGGCUGACACUGACGCUGAGGCGCGAAAGCCAGGGGAGCGAACGGG